AAUUCCGCCGCCUCUUUCACGGCAGGAGACAAGUUGCAUUUCCUUCUGCGGAACCCGAUUUCUCAGUUCGUCAUGCGCAACAGCGGCCGCGUCAUCGGGUGGGCGAAGGCCGACGGCCACUCGUGUACCAGCUAUGCAGAAUUCCGGGACGGCUAGGCCUACUGCAUUAUUUCUCUCUUCGGCGUGGUUUCCGUGAGCGAAGGCGUCACGGGAACGCUUCAAGGAGGCGUUACGCACGAACAGCAUGCGGUCAUCGUUGGGAAAUUCCUAAUUAAAAUACUGUCAUAACUCAGUGUCUCAUGGCCCAAAGAGCCACUUUCGUCUCACAACUUCAUUAAUACAGAGAAGAACCACCUCCAAGGGAACUGAUAGCAGUGCAUUUCCUUACUAACUGCCACUUGGAGCUGUUGAAGGCAUGAAUGACUUGGUGAGAAAGUGUGUUAAACCUCAUUAAAAGCGUGAAAGUGCAUGUGUGAAAUACUAGACAUUGAAAAAGUGAAAUUUUCUGCCUGACAAUGAACCACAAUGAACUUUUUGCAACCCAGAUCAUUUAUUCUUUAAAGCAAGACAGGGCUUGCAUAAAGUUAUAUGUAUCUUAGAAUGCAAUCUUUGUUUUCCCUAAAAAAGGAUGUCCCUUAUGAUGAAGAUGUCUAAUU